UACAGAGGUCCCAAGCGUUGUUCGGAUUCAUUGGGCGUAAAGGGUGCGUAGGUGGCAUGGUAAGUCGGGUGUGAAAUCCCGGGGCUCAACCCCGGAACUGCACUCGAUACUGCGGUGCUCGAGGACUGGAGAGGAGACUGGAAUUUACGGUGUAGCAGUGAAAUGCGUAGAUAUCGUAAGGAAGACCAGUGGCGAAGGCGAGUCUCUGGACAGUUACCGACGCUGAGGCACGAAGGUCAGGGGAGCAAACGGG
rnacentral:rRNA from 1 species